UCCGAUAUGGUGUAGUGGCCAACAUUAUCGCCUCUCAGCAGCUGACUAAUCGGUGGUCACGUGAUUUGGGUGCGCGAUAGCCCGGGGUUCGAUUCCCCGUGUCGGAA